CAAACCUGAAAUGGAAUCUUCAUCUCGCAGGCAGUGAGGAGCGCCGCCAGCGUGGAGAGGAAGGCCGGGGAGGCGGUGAGGCCUUCCUCCUGCAUGGCGGUCCACAGCGACAGGCCCUUCUCACCCUCGCUCUGCACGUCUGUAACGUAAAUGUUGAGGAGGGCCGAGUAGGCUGCCUGGCGGUCAAUGGCACCCACUCCCCGUGAGGCCGAGAGGAAGUUGACCAUCGCCGCCUCGUUCUCAUUCUUGACGUAAUACUCCAGCUGGCUCUUCACUCGCCGCCGGUCAAGCUCCCGGCCAAGGUCUGCCUCCCUCCACAUGGGCGAAGAACAGGUCGUGGCGGGCUGACACGGACCCCCUCACUUCAGCGAUGAGUCCCAGCAUAUCGUCCAGCAGCUGACAAGAGGCCACAGACUCACUGGAGGGCAGGACUUGUAUAGACGGCAGAGGUGUUCCCCGAGACAUCAGGAUUAGAGUGAAGGCUUCCAGCGCUGUGAUUGGCCGCCACUUUGCCGUCAAGAUCAAGAAUAUCAGGGUGUGAAUGGGUCUUUGUUAUCCCUGUUUGAAGUGGAUGAAGAUACAUAUAUAUACAUUAAAGUCUCUCUCUCUCCACAGACACACAGUAAGUCCACAUGUCUCAGUGACUUAACACACUUCCUUAACCCGGUAGCAGCGACGGGCCAAAUUUGUGGCUUUACUGUGUAGCAGCAACGGGCCAAAUUUGUGGCUUUACUGUGUAGCAGCGACGGGCCAAAUUUGUGGCUUUACUGUGUAGCAGCGACGGGCCAAAUUUGUGGCUUUACUGUGUAGCAGCGACGGGCCAAAUUUGUGGCUUUACUGUGUAGCAGCGACUGGCCAAAUUUGUGGCUUUACUGUGUAGCAGCGACGGGCCAAAUUUGUGGCUUUACUGUGUAGCAGCGACGGGCCAAAUUUGUGGCUUUACUGUGUAGCAGCGACGGGCCAAAUUUGUGCCAUGAUAUAAACCCCCCAAAAUAGAUGAUACAUAAUCUGAUCACAAAUGCUUUGAUAUAUAUUAUGAAAUGGUUUGUGUGAGUGAUGAUUUUUUCUCAUUUUUCUCGCUUGGAGGGACCAUUAAGAAACAUGAUCCCCGCUGCUACCGGGUUAAAAUGACCCCCCCCCC